CCCAACAUAUUUAUUUUAACAAAAGAACACUUAGAUAAAUGUAUUGUUGUUUUCUAUAAUGAAAAGGUCAGAGUUGAACGAGGUUCGGCGAAAAAAACCGGACAAUUUUCCCGCUUCACACAUUACAGGUCACGUGAUCAUUUGAGCACAGAAAAGACCAGUUUAGGAGGGAACGUCGCACGGCGAAGAUGGAAGAAAUGGCGAAGAUGGAAGAAGAAAUGGCGUGCAGUCACAGGUUUUACUGGAAGAAGAAGAAAAAGAAGAAGAAUUAAGAACGUAUUUAGGAGUGAGAGUUACAUGACGAAGAUGGAAGAAAUGGCGUGCAGGUGUGUUGGAUAUUUAACAACUUUAUUGUGUCAUUUGCAUUUUUCAUUAGCCUAUCGUAUUGAAUGCCUUUGUUAUUUGCCUGCUUAUUUUUAUUUUGAUGAUUUGUAUGCAUAAUUGCUCCUGAUAAUUUAGACACCUGGCCGUUUUAUUACCCUGCUCCCACAUGACUUGCUAGUAAUCGUGUUGAUGAUUAUGGUUGAUGUUGAAUUUUACGGACUAGGUUGACCAGCCGCUCGACGUAACAUACUUCGCGCGACAUAGCAUUCUUCGGCGUUUUUUGUUUAAUUUUUAUUGUAUACUGACAAACAUUCCCGCCACAUUCUGAUUAUUAAUACAUGUAUUUUGCGCAUGCCAAACAGGUUUUAUUUAUUAUAUGUAAAAGGAUGUAUAUUGAAGAAAAUGUGUAUGUAUGAAAAUUGGUAAAAUAAAUGGAUAUAGAUUUGUUACUGGUCGGCUCGGUGAUAUCUUUGUUUCACUAUCAGUAUUAAAUGCAUAAUGGGUAUUAAAUGCAAAAAAAGGAUUGGAAAAUAUCACAAAUAAUAGUUUAACUGUAAGCAUGUCAAAGAAGUGAGUUUCAAAAAUGUGUAUAAGAUUGUGUAUAAAAAUGUGUAUACAUAAAGAAUUGGUAUAAAAAUUGUGUAUAAAAAAUAGGUAUAAAAAGUGUGUAUAAAAAAUGGGUAUAAAAUUGGGUUAAAGAAAGA